rnacentral:lncRNA from 1 species
CAGAGGAAGCAGCGGCCCUCAGCUAGCCCAGAGGUGUCAGCUUCUCUUCUCACCAAAGCAGCUGCACCGCACCUGACGUCAGGCGCUGCCAAGGGCCCGGGCUUCCUGUGAGCUAGACUCCCAGCCGCCUUUCUCACUAAAGAGAAGAGUGGGCUUGCCUCUCCUCAGCUCAUGACCCACUCAAAGGCAGCCCGCCUGAGCUCCUGAUGCUGGCAACAUUUGGAUCAUCCUAAGCGUUUGCUAAGUGCCAUCAACACACUGACUUAAGUGGUAGAGGAUUGAGAGCCUGGUGUGGGCUGUGGGGAUGGAGGAGGAGGCGAGCAGGAGGAGAAAGCAGAUGGAGAAGACGAGACCGAAUGGAAACCAGGCACCGAGACUAGACUCUGGUUUCUCCAGCCCUUACUGCACUGUCUGCUCCGUGGGUCUAACCGCUCAUCUAAUGACAUCUUCAGCUCUGUCCCCGGCUCUACACUUCUCUGGAACCAACCCACACAAUUAAGCCAUGAUUUUCUACCAUUGCCCAUGGGACAGAAUCCAGAAGGCUUUGUCUAGCCAGGGCUGGCUUUCCACGACUGUGCCUUCCAUCCAGACCAGCUUUAUUUUCCAUUGCUUCAUGGCCGGGGGGGGGGGGGGGGGGGGCAUCGACUGUACCCAGGCUGGCUUGUCCUUCCCACCACUCCCUUCUGCGCAGCUGUACACAGUUAUUUAGCAAAAGCCCACCCUCUGGUUCCUGCCUUGUACCAAUCCUGAGCAACAAUGAAGCUACCUGAAUUCUACAGACGAGAACUCAAGUCUCAGAAGACACGGGUUCCUCCUCAGCUGGAAGAAUCCUGGGCCAGAGAGCUCUAGUCUCCGCUCAGGACCUGUUUAUUCCACGGGUUAAGGUCAUCCCAGUCUCCCUCACUAAAGUGAAAGCUCACGGGAACAUGGGCCAUCCUCACUUCCUAUAUUUGGCAAACAAUGAGCACAUUAGUGUCUUAAUCUAUGCAGACUGCUAAGACAGUACGCCGUGGACUCUAAGCAACAGAAAUGUAUUGCCCAGAGGAGGCUGGGAAAUUCCAGAUCAGAAUACUCACAGGUUAUGUCUCCUGAAGGCCCAUCAUUUGACCUACAGAAAUCCAUCCUCUUUCUUGUCCUCAUGGCAGAAGACUGAGGGAGCUCUCUGGGAGUUUCUUAUGAGAGCAUUGACCCAUGAAAGUUUCACUCUAUUAUCUGAUCACCACUCAGAGGCCUGCCUCCUGAUGCUACCAUAUUUGGAGUCAGACUCAACACUGGAAUUCUGAGGCACACAGUCUACUACAGAUGGGUUAUAACUACUCUACAUUAAAAAAAAAAAAAGCAGCACUAG